rnacentral:rRNA from 1 species
UACGGGGGGGGCAAGCGUUGUUCGGAAUUACUGGGCGUAAAGGGUUCGUAGGUGGCCAACUAAGUCAGACGUGAAAUCCCUCAGCUUAACUGGGGAACUGCGUCUGAUACUGGUUGGCUUGAGUGCAGGAGAGGAAUGCGGAAUUCCAGGUGUAGCGGUGAAAUGCGUAGAUAUCAUCAGGAACACCGGUGGCGAAAGCGGCUUACUGGGUCUCUUCUGACGCUGAGGUACGAAAGCUAGGGGAGCGAACGGG